rnacentral:rRNA from 1 species
UACGGAGGAUCCAAGCGUUAUCCGGAUUCAUUGGGUUUAAGGGUGCGUAGGCGGACUGAUAAGUCAGCGGUGAAAUCUCUCGGCUCAACCGAGAAACUGCCGUUGAUACUGUUAGUCUUGAAUGCAGAUGAUGUGGGCGGAAUAUGACAUGUAGUGGUGAAAUACUUAGAUAUGUCAUAGAACACCGAUUGCAAAGGCAGCUCACAAAACUGUGAUUGACGCUGAUGCACGAAAGCGUGGGGAUCAAACAGG